UCCAGCAGCCAUAUCACCCUACAACAGGCAACCCACUGAAGCUAAGCAGGUGUGAGCCUGGUCAGUACCUUGAUGGGAGACCUCCUGGGAAAAACUAAUGUUGCUGCUGGAA
rnacentral:rRNA from 1 species